GAGGAAUAUUGGUCAAUGGCCUAACGGCUGAACCAGCAACUUGCAGGAAUGAGAGUUAAUAUAAUAGAUUUAUUAACUUGCUUGACUAGGUCUUAUAAAGUUCUGGAUAAAGCUGAUUAUGACAACUUUAUAUCCAUAGGUCUCGACUAAAUCUUGUGCCAGCAGUCGCGGUAAGACAAGGGAGACGAGUGUUAUUCAUCUUGAACAGGUAUAUUGGGUACCUAGACUGUGUAUGAAGGCUUUUAUAGUACCUACUACACUAGAGUUUAAUAUGUGAGAGGAAGAUGUCAGAAUUAUUGGAGUAGAGAUGAAAUCCUUUAAUACUAAUAGGACUGAUAAUGGCGAAGGCAAACCUCUAUGUAUAUGUACUUUAUUUAAAUAGAUUUAAAUGGAAAAUAAAAUAGUUAAAUACUUUUAAUUAGUUUAUAUUCACAUUUAAUUGUCUUAUGUGUCUAUAGAGAGAUACAAUAAAAGAAUAAGUAAAGUACAGAACUGACGUUGAGGGACGAAGGCUCAGAGAGUGAAGAGGAUUAGAUACCCCGUAGCCUGGGCAGACAAUGAUGAGUGCCAUAGGUUGGCUUUUAAGUUGAACUAUAAAUGAAAGUGGAAGCACUCCACCUCAAGAGUAAUGUGGCAACGCAGGAACUGAAAUCAUUAGACCGUUUCUGAAACCAGUAGUGAAGUAUGUUAUUUAAUUCGAUGAUCCGCGAAUAACCUUACCACAAUUUGAAUGCUCUAAAUUUUAUAUAAUUAAUCUAUAUGCUUAUCUCUGGUUUAUAUAUUUUAAGUUUAUCGGAUAUGAUUAUAAAAUAAAAUUAUCAACUAUACAGAUAGAUAGCCAUAUUUUAUAAUUAUAUUAUUUAGACCACAUGCGUUGCAUGGCUGUCUUCAGUUAAUGUCGUGAGAUUUGGUUAGGUCCAUUAAAUUAACGUAAACCCUUGUUUUAUUUAAUACAAUAAGGCAGCUCUCCGCUUACAAUUGGAUAUGAUAACAGGGACUAAGACAAGUCAUCAUGGCCUUAAUAUUGUGGGCUAUAGACGUG
rnacentral:rRNA from 1 species